rnacentral:rRNA from 1 species
UACGGAGGAUGCGAGCGUUAUCCGGAUUUAUUGGGUUUAAAGGGUGCGUAGGCGGACUGUCAAGUCAGCGGUAAAAUUGAGAGGCUCAACCUCUUCCCGCCGUUGAAACUGGUGGUCUUGAGUGGAUGAGAAGUACGCGGAAUGCGUGGUGUAGCGGUGAAAUGCAUAGAUAUCACGCAGAACUCCGAUUGCGAAGGCAGCGUACCGGCGUCCUACUGACGCUGAGGCACGAAAGCGUGGGUAUCGAACAGG